GGAUCUUCUCCCGGUCCUGAGUGUCUGCUGUGGCUGCGAUCCUCUCUCCUUCAGCACGGAUCAUCUCCACCGUUGGUCGGCGGUCGUCCAGCAACCUUUGAAGCAGCUGCGGGAUGCAAAUAUACAUUUUCAGAGUACCUGAAAAACCGCCCCCCCUCAGUUCUCUGCUUGUCACUGGUUUGUCCUGGAGGCGGAUGCAGCGAUCCACAAUUAUCACAUCAAUCAGAGCGAAUGCGGGAACCGCAGAGCUGAAGCCACCUGGCUGUCUCCUCUCUGCUCCACGAUUACCUCCCACCGCUUCAGAAAUGAAGAUACAGGAUGUUCAGUUACAUUAAACCAUUUAGAGCUUGUUUGUUCCGAAGAAAAAAUUUUGACUUUUCUGGUAAAUCGGUUUACUGUAAGCUUAAAGAGCAAAAUCUGUGCAGCUCAAAGUCACACUACAAAUCGUGAAAACUUAGAAAAAUUAGAGGAAAUGUGGAGGAACUGAAAAAUAUCAGUGCUGUAGCUGCAGGCAGAAACACGAGCAGCAUGAGAAAAAAAAAGUCAUUUCAGAAAAGCCUGCUGUCUGUCGGUCAGUAUGAACUCAGACAGCAUGCAAAGCGAGUCCAUCUGUCUGUCUGUCUGUUGGACACACACACAAACUCACACACCUCUCCUAACAAUGAGCUCCAUGUUAAUCCCGGGUCCUUCUGCUUGGCUCCGCCUGCCAGUACGGCUCUCUUAUCAUCGCUCCAAGGCCUCGUGCAGAACUACAAGGUGCUUCCUGGUAAAAACAACCACUUCCCUACACACACACACACUUCUUCCCUUUCUGUGCUUCCUCCUUUGUUUUCCUAAAUUCUGUCAGUGAGUUUCUCUGUCCUUCUCACCUUUUCAUCUCUCAAUUCAUUCCUAUCAGCGACUGAUCAUCAGAGCCGCCUGUUUGUUUUGUUGCAUAACUUCGAUUUGCACAGCAGCACGACAAUAAAGUGAAAAUAUACAAAAAGCUGCAACAAAGAUUUGGAGCAGCAGCAACAGAGAUGCAGGCCUCCACUUGGUUUUGGAACAUUCUUAUCUGAUACCUAAGUUUAAGCUUCACACACUGCACAAUCACCCUCCCACCUUUCAAACAAACACCCAGACCCACAGUUUUAACUCUCACCUCCUUAUCUCAACGCCAUCCAAGCAUGCAGGAGCAGAGAGAUGUUUGUGGACAGAAUGAAAGAAGGAUGACUGUAGCUCAUUUUAUCAUCACUCCUGAUUUGUUAUAAUAUGAAAGACUUGAAGCAAAAACAUAAUUUUCAUCUUUUGAUCUAUUCUAAAAGCGUUACCGGUGGUAUUUCAAUAAUAUUCUUGCAGAUUUUAGCCAAAACAAACAAAAAAACUGUUUAGUUUUCUAGGACAUAGUUUCUGCAGAGUGGCAGUUGUUUAUUAGAAUUGUACCUCUGAGUUGUGGGACUGUUGGAGCGGAGUAAACCUUCCCCAUUUCCCAUCAUCCCUUUGUUUACCAUCUCUCCUGCUAGAUAACAGCCCCUCACAACUCCAACCUAAUAUUACCGGGGCAACAGAAAUGGAGAUCAAUAUAAAAAUGAAGAUGCAGUAGAAUGGAGCGGAGCAGGGAGCCUGUGAUUUGUACUAGUAGGUCCUACAAGCAACAAACUUUUUCCAAUAGCGUUGUUUCGUCUGCUCCUGAUUCACAGCAAAUUGAAUAAAGAAAAACUUAGAAAUGCAAAAUUAAUCAUAAUUUUCUUUACAUAGGCCUUCCAUCUUGAGAAAAAUGCUACAGGAAUAUGUUAAAAACAUAAUUUUCAUUGGAGUGGGUCUUUAAAAAUGUUAAGAAAAGCUCGUCCCCUAAAUGCCUACUUAACUGAUGCUCAAAACACAGCAAAAACGGUUUUCUCUAAGUUAAAGAAGCCAAAACAGUUGCUUGCAUGCCCACUAUAAAAUGUGACCUUUAAAAGCAAAAGCGAAAAAAAACAAAAAAAAAA